rnacentral:rRNA from 1 species
UACAGAGGGUGCAAGCGUUGUUCGGAAUUAUUGGGCGUAAAGGGAGUGUAGGCGGUUUUCUAAGUCUCAUGUGAAAUCUUCGGGCUUAGCCUGACAAAGUGCAUGGGAAACUGGGAAGCUUGAGUGUCGGAGAGGAUAGGGGAAUACCCGGUGUAGUGGUGAAAUGCGUAGAUAUCGGGAGGAACACCAGUGGCGAAGGCGACUACCUGGCCUGUUCUUGACGCUGAGGCGCGAAAGCUAGGGGAGCAAACGGG